UACGAAGGGGGCUAGCGUUGCUCGGAAUCACUGGGCGUAAAGCGCACGUAGGCGGCUUUCUAAGUCAGGGGUGAAAUCCUGGAGCUCAACUCCAGAACUGCCUUUGAUACUGGAGAGCUUGAGUCCGGAAGAGGUGAGUGGAACUCCGAGUGUAGAGGUGAAAUUCGUAGAUAUUCGGAAGAACACCAGUGGCGAAGGCGGCUCACUGGCUCGGUACUGACGCUGAGGCGCGAAAGCGUGGGGAGCAAACAGG
rnacentral:rRNA from 1 species